AUUAGUCUGCAAGAAGCUUCUCGGAGAGGUGGCCGGGUUUCGAAAACCGUGGAGUUUUUGUAAUCACGUGCACUCCUGUACAAGAGCACGAUGGAGAAGCUGUCAGCUCUAAGAGCAAGGGUUGAAUCAGCGGUAGCCCUGAAGCCAAGGCGAAGGGCUGAGGCGACAUGGCGUGGAGUGGAGUUCCGCUGGACUCCAAACAUGUGACAUAUAUGAGUAUUUCAGAAGCACGGCGAUCUCCAUUCCUAGGACCUUGGCAGGCAAUCCCUACCCCUUUCAAUCAGUCACGCAGACAAGACGACGAAGCGCCGUGAUCUUCAUUCCUAGCCUUCGUGCAGGCACCGGACAUCCUGGAGCAGUCGACCAGGUGAUGGCUAUGGCAUAUGGGCCAAAAAGGGUUCAGAUAGUAAUAGCUGAUGGGCAGCGGACGACACAAUUGAAUCUGCUCUUGGGUUCUAUUCGAAGAUGGUGGUGCUCCCUUGCAGGUAAUGAGGCUUAGGCUGAUGCUCUACACCCUUAUUUGAUUAUUUCAGUAAUUGGUGGAGUGACCAGUAGUGCAGGUACCCCUUUAGUUAUAUUCAUCAAUAUCAUAAUACACAAGAUGAAGAACUGGGGUUCUCUA